rnacentral:ncRNA from 2 species
CUCUUAUUCCGAGUCGGUGGAGGGACAGCCCCAAUGAAACCCAGCAACCUGCUUUAAGAACUUUGGACAGGACAUUCAAAAGGAUUGGUCCAAACAAGGAGAUAGUACGUUUUCUUUUUGGUUGAACCAGAAUCAUUUUACAUGAUUUAAGCGGUAAUGCUUAUUCGGAUGAAAGUUACUCUGCUCAAAGAGCUAUUCUAAGCAAAGGUGCUAAUCUGAUGCAAGGUUUUCCUUGAUCGAUAAGAG